rnacentral:rRNA from 1 species
AGUUUGAUCCUGGCUCAGAUUGGAAUAUGGAUGCUUUACAUGCAAGUCGAACGGCAGCACGGACUUCGGUCUGGUGGCGAGUGGCGAACGGGUGAGUAAUGUAUCGGAACGUGCCUAGUAGCGGGGAUAACUACGCGAAAAGCGUAGCCAUUACCGCACGGCGCCCUUCGGGGAAAGCGGGGGACCUUUCGGGCCCCUGCAAUUAGAGCGGCCGAUAUCGGAUUAGCUAGUUGGUGGGGUAACGGCUCACCAAGGCGACGAUCCGUAGCUGGUUUGAGAGGACGACCAUGCCACACUGGGACUGAGACACGGCCCAGACUCCCACGGGAGGCAGCAGUGGGGGAAUUUUGGACAAUGGGGGGAAACCCUGAUCCAGCCAUCCCGCGUGUGCGAUGAAGGCCUUCGGGUUGUAAAGCACUUUUGGCAGAAAGAAACGGCACGGGAUAAUACCCUUGUGCAACUGACGGUACCUGCAGAAUAAGCACCGGCUAACUACGCGCCGUACAGCAGCCGCGGUAAUACGGAGGUGCAAGCGUUAAUCGGAAUUACUGGGCGUAAAGCGUGCGCAGGCGGUUCUAGCGCUGUUAUUACGAAAUCCCAGAGCUUAACUUUGGAACUGCAUUUUUAACCAUCGAGCGAGCGGCCAGAGGGAGGUGGAAUUCGCGUGUAGCAGUGAAAUGCGUGAUAUGGCAGGAGAGAACACCGAUGGCGAAGGCAGCCUCCUGGGAUACCACUGACGCCUAUGACGAGCGGGAGCAAACAGAUUAGAUACCCUGGUAGUCCACGCCCUAAACGAUGUCAAAUUAGCCGUUGGGGCCUUCGGGCCUUGGUAGCGCAGCUAACGCGUGAAGUUGACCGCCUGGGGAGUACGGUCGCAAGAUUAAAAACUCAAAGCGGAAUUGACGGGGACCCGCACAAGCGGUGGAUGAUGUGGAUUAAUUCGAUGCAACGCGAAAAACCUUACCUACCCUUGACAUGUCUGGAAUCCCUAAAGCAGAUUUGGGAGUGCUCGCAAGAGAACCGGAACACAGGUGCUGCAUGGCUGUCGUCAGCUCGUGUCGUGAGAUGCUGGGUUAAGUCCCGCAACGAGCGCAACCUCGUCAUUAGUUGCUACGAAAGGGCACUCUAAUGAGACUGCCGGUGACAAACCGGAGGAAGGUGGGGAUGACGUCAAGUCCUCAUGGCCCUUAUGGGUAGGGUCACACCGUCAUACAAUGGUCGGGACAGAGGGUCGCCAACCCGCGAGGGGAGCCAAUCCCAGAAACCUGAUCGUAGUCCGGAUCGCGGUCUGCAACUCGACUGCGGGGUGAAGUCGGAAUCGCUAGUAAUCGCGAUCAGCAUGUCGCGGUGAAUAUUGCCCCGGGUCUUGUAUACACUGCCCGUCACACCAUGGAGUGGGUUUUACCAGAAGUAGUUAGCCUAACCGUAAGGAGGGCGAUUACCACGGUAGGAUUCAUGAUCAGUGUCACGAAGGUA